CUUGGCUUUCACUAUCUUCGAUUUUCUGUGUUCAUCCAUGGUUGCUCUUUCCAAUUCUCCCUCUUCCAUUAAUUUCAACCUCUCUCCUUCUCUCUUGAAUCGGUACGUCCUCUCUGUUUCGUCUUUAUAAUCAAUCUUCUCUCUCGAUCUGUGGCUCAAAUCUCCUCUCCUCUCUCUUUGGACCUCUGGACCGCUGUCGGCUGCGCUGUUGCUUCCUGGAGAAUUUCUCUAUCUGCAUCUCUUUUUCCUUUUAGUUCGGUUCGCCUUUCCAAGUUGCGUGCUAGCAGUGAGGGAUUGUUCUGUUACCAUGUCUGAUCAUAUCAUGAAGUCAUACCAAGAAGGGAAGGGAACGUCAAUGCGGCCCUACCAUUCAGUUUGGUUGGCUCAUUGGUCACGUCCAGGCUGCAAAUCAGCAAAUGGAGCCUGCAAUAAUUUAUUGACCAGCGGAGAGUCUGAUGAAGAGAGUUCUCAAACUAAGAAGCGUCCUUUGCUCGAAGGUCCAAUGGCAACUACUAUCACUGCAAAUCAUGACAUUGGGUCUGGAGAAGUAGCAGGAGUACGUGCAGAUAAUACCAACAAAAUGACUGAGAGAUCUAAGAAGUGCAGGAAAGAAAGGUUAGAUUCUGAGCCCUUUUCUAUGAUCAAUGAUUCUCAGCAUAGAGGGGGUAAAUUGGCUCUGAAGAUUGAACAGGCUACGGCUAGUCGAGGUGGAGCUUUGAAAUUUCAUACUGGUUCUAAAUCUGAGCACAAAACUUCGUCUCUGGAUGGAAAGGGGAGUCAAUGGCUAUCGCUGCUUGCAGUAGUUCCUGAAAGAGGUAAGCCCAAGAAGGAACAGAUAAAGUCCAAAGACACACACCAACAUGAGGAUCCCAGUAAGUUCCUUAACAACAAUGCCCCAACUGUUUCACCAUUUGUUGGAGAUGAGACUGUGGCAUCAGCUUCCAACUUUGUACCUUAUGAAAUGAGUAAUCUGUUCCCAUUCUCCACAUGUGAACAAAGUAUCAACAACGAACCAAAUUCCUGUUUGGCAUCCAAAAAGCAGGUUGAGAAUACUAAUUUCCAUACUUAUUCUACUCUUUUUGUUCAAGAGACAAAAAUCAACCAACUUUUGGAUACAACGCAAGCUACAAAUGCACUGUCAAGGCAGCACAUGAGAACGUUUUUACUGCAUAAUCCCUCUUCAAGCAAUCUUGACCAGCCAAAUCCAUACCCCAUACAAUGUGACACUAGGAAAAAUAGUUCAAAUGCCUUACCCUUUCAAAGUCAGGACAACCAUUCAGACACUGCCUUACCAGAAUACUUAUACCAUGGAGGUUACUCAAUGCAGAGGCUUCCAUUUUCUGUACACGACGUGGAAACUAUGAGAAUAUGUACCACCGUAGACUCUGUUGGACAGGCGCUCAGGGGUCCUCCAAAAUUUUGUCAGACAACUCACCGUUUAAUGAUCACUAAAAAGACUGAUGUUGACUUGUAUGAAGGUCAGGCGUUUAGAGGGAAAGUGGCAUCUACCAAUCUCAAAGAGGAAACUGCACGUGCGCUUCUUGGUUCAUCCACCAAUUUAGGCAGAGACGAUCAGAAGGAAAAUGAAGAUCUUGGAAAUACGAGGAGUGCGACUUCUUUGAGCAACGAGUCAUCAUCUGAGACUGAUAUUAUGGACAUGGAUGCAUACCAAGACAACCAUUCGAGGGACGUGGAUACAUCAGAAGCAGAUAAGGAGUUGAGGAGUUCAAAAUCACCACUGCUCUCUGUGAGUGCAACUGGUUCGGUUAGAAAGCAAAUUGGAGGUCCGCUGCCGAAGAAAAGAUUACUUAAUAUAAACGAAAGGCCACCCAAUCGUUCUACUUCUACAAGCCUGAUGGAAAACGGGGAGUCAAGUACCUCUAAAACACAAACUUUAGAUGCAGAACACCUCCUUUCAAAUGCUGAGCAGCAAAGGUUUUUGAAUUCCAUUGUCCCUCCAGAUGACUCUUCUAAACGGGAGAUAGACAGUGGGUGGGUUAAACGUCUUAGGCCAUGCGCUUCAGAGUCUGUUCAUGACUCAAAGAGCACGAAAAAGGUGGAAGAGUCUUCCUGUGAUAAAGCCAAUCAGCUCUUCAAUAAAAUGAAACGCAGCUCAACCAGCUCUGAUCGCUCUAGGGGUCCACUCCAUGGACAAGAGCAAUUGGCGGUUGGCCAAACGGCUACUAUAGUAAAAGCUAGUGACUUGUGCAGCAACUUGAGAUUAAAAAAUCGAGAAAUGAUACUCUCCAGUCCCUGGAUUCGAAGAUUAUGUCAUAAUAGAUCAACAUCUUCUGAACGAAAUCUUGAAACUGCUGUGGUUCACAAAUCACAAUGUUCUAGGCCAAUUUUAAAUAAGCCAAUGCCCAGUAUAGCUGCUAUGGCAUUGAUGGGCAAGACAGUGACUGGGCUUCAGCCAUGUGAGUUCAUCAGAAGAGGAUCUUCACUGGUCUGGAAUACCGAGGGUAUUUGACAACCCUCUUAAGUUUCGACACUACUGAUAUCUUGAAAUGGAGUUAUUUCUAUCGAACUCCUGGCCAUCAUCAACUCAGACCCAAGUAGUUUGAACUGCUAGAGAGCUAAAUUAAGCUUCUGGAUAAGCUCGUUACAGUUGCCACCACUGCCUGAAUGGAAGAAUGGUUCCUUUAUAUGGUUUUGUGCUCGAUUAUUCACGAUGUAUCUCCUGGGGCUGAAGGCAAACGUGAGCAUCCACCCAUUUACAGUAAAGAAACGAGCAACGAGCCUGAAGAAAACUAACAUACAACCAUUAUAUGGUUGAAGUGGUUAGAGGAACAACAUUCAGUAGUCCGAAGCUGUCAAUAUCAAUAUAGGAUGGAAAUUUGUGGAGUCUUGACCAAUCAGGUAAUGGAAACCAUGCAGAUGAACAACCCCACCUCUUCUCUGGUACAUUAUUUUCCUCAGAUGGUUAAACUCAGCUCAUUAUCUAAGAUCUUUUGUUACAAAUUAAGGUUCCAUUUCUAAUCUGACAGCCAGUAUGUUCCAGAGCAGAUUCAAAAAAACCGCCUCCUUGAAUGGUUGAAUCCAUACAGGGCGGAGCAAACUGAGUUAUUACGUCUCCCACGGUGAGUAUCCCUGUUGCUUGGUGGGAACUAUUGACAAGAAAGCUGAAACUGCUAUUUGUUUCUGCCAUAGUUUUCAUCACUUGCUUCAGAGUGUCAUCUCUCCUGAUGGUGACUGGAGUGUGCAUAUUUGGAACUUUGCACUUAACUAGAGGACGAGCGCUCGACAAGCAACUGCACCCAUUUGUUUCUCCCAUAGUAAAUGAAAGGCUUCCAUAAUGUUUUGAUCGCCAUAGACGUGAAGAACAUUCUCUUCAUUAUGAAACCUGAAUUGACAAUGAUCAAGAAAGGAAAAGGAAGCAAUUAUGUUAUUCAAUUCCAUAUAGAUCAAUCUGUUAUUCAUGUGAUGGUGUGAUGUUCCUUACCGAAACUUCGAUAUAACUUUGUCCACUAUGCUGUCAAACCACUCCAAGCCACUUGAUUCCAGAAGCAUAUGAAUUACUGCAUUCUGUCAUAGAACGCAAACGAUUUCAAACACUUGAUAAACCUGAAAGGCUCGA